UACGGAGGGAGCUAGCGUUGUUCGGAAUUACUGGGCGUAAAGCGCGCGUAGGCGGCUUUGUAAGUUAGAGGUGAAAGCCCGGGGCUCAACCCCGGAACUGCCUUUAAGACUGCAUCGCUUGAAUCCGGGAGAGGUGAGUGGAAUUCCGAGUGUAGAGGUGAAAUUCGUAGAUAUUCGGAAGAAACACCAGUGGCGAAGGCGG
rnacentral:rRNA from 1 species